UUAAGUUAAUAAGGGCGCACGGUGGAUGCCUUGGCACUAGGAGCCGACGAAGGACGUGACAAACGACGAUAUGCCUUGGGUAGCUGUAAGUAAGCGAUGAUCCAGGGAUUUCCGAAUGGGGGAACCCAACAGGUAAUACCUGUUACCUACAUCUGUUAAGGAUGUGAGGAGGAAGACGCAGUGAACUGAAACAUCUAAGUAGCUGCAGGAAGAGAAAGCAAAAGCGAUUGCCUUAGUAGCGGCGAGCGAAACGGCAGAAGGGCAAACCGAAGAGUUUACUCUUCGGGGUUGUAGGACUGCAAUGUGGACUCAAAGAUUAUAGAAGAAUGAUUUGGGAAGAUCAGCCAAAGAGAGUAAUAGCCUCGUAUUUAAAAUAGUCUUUGUACUUAGCAGUAUCCUGAGUACGGCGGGACACGUGAAAUCCCGUCGGAAUCUGGGAGGACCAUCUCCCAACCCUAAAUACUCCCUAGUGACCGAUAGUGAACCAGUACCGUGAGGGAAAGGUGAAAAGCACCCCGGGAGGGGAGUGAAAUAGAACCUGAAACCGUGUGCCUACAACAAGUUCGAGCCCGUUAAUGGGUGAGAGCGUGCCUUUUGUAGAAUGAACCGGCGAGUUACGUUAUGAUGCGAGGUUAAGUUGAAGAGACGGAGCCGUAGGGAAACCGAGUCUGAAUAGGGCGCCUUAGUAUCAUGACGUAGACCCGAAACCAUGUGACCUACCCAUGAGCAGGUUGAAGGUGCGGUAAGACGCACUGGAGGACCGAACCAGGGCACGUUGAAAAGUGCUUGGAUGACUUGUGGGUAGCGGAGAAAUUCCAAACGAACUUGGAGAUAGCUGGUUCUCUCCGAAAUAGCUUUAGGGCUAGCGUCGACAUUAGAGAUUCUUGGAGGUAGAGCACUGUUUGGGUGAGGGGUCCAUCCCGGAUUACCAAUCUCAGAUAAACUCCGAAUGCCAAUGAAUUAUGGUCGGCAGUCAGACUGCGAGUGCUAAGAUCCGUAGUCGAAAGGGAAACAGCCCAGACCACCAGCUAAGGUCCCAAAAUAAUUGUUAAGUGGAAAAGGAUGUGGGGUUGCACAGACAACUAGGAUGUUAGCUUAGAAGCAGCUAUUCAUUCAAAGAGUGCGUAAUAGCUCACUAGUCGAGUGACCCUGCGCCGAAAAUGUACCGGGGCUAAAACAAUUUACCGAAGCUGUGGAUACCUUUAUAGGUAUGGUAGGAGAGCGUUCUAUGUGUGAUGAAGGUAUACCGUGAGGAGUGCUGGAACGCAUAGAAGUGAGAAUGCCGGUAUGAGUAGCGAAAGACAGGUGAGAAUCCUGUCCACCGUAAGACUAAGGUUUCCAGGGGAAGGCUCGUCCGCCCUGGGUUAGUCGGGACCUAAGGAGAGACCGAAAGGUGUAUCCGAUGGACAACAGGUUGAUAUUCCUGUACUAGAGUAUGUAGUGAUGGAGGGACGCAGUAGGCUAACUAAAGCAGACGAUUGGAAGAGUCUGUCUAAGCAGUGAGGUGUGAAUUGAGUCAAAUGCUUAAUUCUAUAACAUUGAGCUGUGAUGGGGAGCGAAGUUUAGUAGCGAAGUUAGUGACGUCACACUGCCAAGAAAAGCUUCUAGCGUUUAAACAUACUCUACCCGUACCGCAAACCGACACAGGUAGUCGAGGCGAGUAGCCUCAGGUGAGCGAGAGAACUCUCGUUAAGGAACUCGGCAAAAUGACCCCGUAACUUCGGGAGAAGGGGUGCUGACUUAAAGUCAGCCGCAGUGAAUAGGCCCAAGCAACUGUUUAUCAAAAACACAGCUCUCUGCUAAAUCGUAAGAUGAUGUAUAGGGGGUGACGCCUGCCCGGUGCUGGAAGGUUAAGAGGAGUGCUUAGCGUAAGCGAAGGUAUGAAUUGAAGCCCCAGUAAACGGCGGCCGUAACUAUAACGGUCCUAAGGUAGCGAAAUUCCUUGUCGGGUAAGUUCCGACCCGCACGAAAGGCGUAAUGAUUUGGGCACUGUCUCAACGAGAGACUCGGUGAAAUUUUAGUACCUGUGAAGAUGCAGGUUACCCGCGACAGGACGGAAAGACCCCAUGGAGCUUUACUGCAGUUUGAUAUUGAGUGUCUGUACCACAUGUACAGGAUAGGUAGGAGUCUAAGAGAUCGGGACGCCAGUUUCGAAGGAGACGCUGUUGGGAUACUACCCUUGUGUUAUGGCCACUNNNNNNNNNNNNNNNNNNNNNNNNNNNNNNNNNNNNNNNNNNNNUAACCCAGAUAGGUGAUCCCUAUCGGAGACAGUGUCUGACGGGCAGUUUGACUGGGGCGGUCGCCUCCUAAAAGGUAACGGAGGCGCCCAAAGGUUCCCUCAGAAUGGUUGGAAAUCAUUCGCAGAGUGUAAAGGUAUAAGGGAGCUUGACUGCGAGAGCUACAACUCGAGCAGGGACGAAAGUCGGGCUUAGUGAUCCGGUGGUUCCGUAUGGAAGGGCCAUCGCUCAACGGAUAAAAGCUACCCUGGGGAUAACAGGCUUAUCUCCCCCAAGAGUUCACAUCGACGGGGAGGUUUGGCACCUCGAUGUCGGCUCGUCGCAUCCUGGGGCUGUAGUCGGUCCCAAGGGUUGGGCUGUUCGCCCAUUAAAGCGGCACGCGAGCUGGGUUCAGAACGUCGUGAGACAGUUCGGUCCCUAUCCGUCGCGGGCGUAGGAAAUUUGAGAGGAUCUGCUCCUAGUACGAGAGGACCAGAGUGGACUUACCGCUGGUGUACCAGUUGUCUUGCCAAAGGCAUCGCUGGGUAGCUAUGUAGGGAAGGGAUAAACGCUGAAAGCAUCUAAGUGUGAAACCCACCUCAAGAUGAGAUUUCCCAUGAUUAUAUAUCAGUAAGAGCCCUGAGAGAUGAUCAGGUAGAUAGGUUAGAAGUGGAAGUGUGGCGACACAUGUAGCGGACUAAUACUAAUAGCUCGAGGACUUAUCCAA
rnacentral:rRNA from 1 species